rnacentral:rRNA from 1 species
UACAGAGGUCUCAAGCGUUGUUCGGAUUCAUUGGGCGUAAAGGGUGCGUAGGUGGCGCCGGUAAGUCGGGUGUGAAAUUUCGGAGCUUAACUCCGAAACUGCAUUCGAUACUGCCGGUGCUUGAGGACUGGAGAGGAGACUGGAAUUAUCGGUGUAGCAGUGAAAUGCGUAGAGUAUCAUGAGGAAGACCAGUGGCGAAGGCGGGUCUCUGGACAGUUCCUGACACUGAGGCACGAAGGCCAGGGGAGCAAACGGGG